rnacentral:lncRNA from 1 species
AAACUCGAUAUUAUUUUUCGAAUUUUUUUCCGUAAAACUAUUGGCAACAUUUGACAACCUUCAAAACUCUAACAACAACAACAAUCGUAGAAAAAGAAUCUCGGAUAAGGAAAAAGAUGGAGCGAAAUCCGAGAAUCAAAAUUCGCCCAUCCGCCUCUCUCCACGGUCUCACCAUCCUUCCUCUCGCGCCUCGAUCUGUCGCCAAAAUCUCAUCACCUGGUAAAUCUUCCUGAUCAUCCUUGGCACCUCCUGAUCGUCCUUCACACCUCUUGAUCAU